rnacentral:rRNA from 1 species
GACGAACGCUGGCGGCGUGCCUAAUACAUGCAAGUUGAGCGCUGAAGGUUGGUACUUGUACCAACUGGAUGAGCAGCGCACGGGUGAGUAACGCGUGGAGAAUCUCCCUUUGAGCGGGGGACAACCUUUGGAAACGAAUGCUAAUACCGCAUAAAAACUUUAAACACAAGUUUUAAGUUUGAAAGAUGCAAUUGCAUCACUCAAAGAUGAUCCCGCGUUGUAUUAGCUAGUUGGUGAGGUAAAGGCUCACCAAGGCGAUGAUACAUAGCCGACCUGAGAGGGUGAUCGGCCACAUUGGGACUGAGACACGGCCCAAACGGCUACGGGAGGCAGCAGUAGGGCAUCUUCGGCAAUGGACGAAAGUCUGACCGAGCAACGCCGCGUGAGUGAAGAAGGGUGUCGGAUCGUAAAACUCGGUUGGUAGAGAAGAACGUUGGUGAGAGUGGAAAGCUCAUAAAGUGACGGUAACUACCCAGAAAGGGACGGCUAACUACGUG